UACGGAGGGGGCUAGCGUUGUUCGGAAUUACUGGGCGUAAAGCGCGCGUAGGCGGCUUUGCAAGUUAGAGGUGAAAGCCCGGGGCUCAACCCCGGAAUUGCCUUUAAAACUGCAUCGCUAGAACGUCGGAGAGGUAAGUGGAAUUCCGAGUGUAGAGGUGAAAUUCGUAGAUAUUCGGAAGAACACCAGUGGCGAAGGCGACUUACUGGACGACUGUUGACGCUGAGGUGCGAAAGCGUGGGGAGCAAACAGG
rnacentral:rRNA from 1 species